rnacentral:rRNA from 1 species
GACGAACGCUGGCGGCGUGCCUAACACAUGCAAGUCGAGCGAUGAAAUCCCUUCGGGGAUGGAUUAGCGGCGGACGGGUGAGUAACACGUGGGCAACCUACCUCAAAGUGGGGGAUAGCCUCCCGAAAGGGAGAUUAAUACCGCAUAACAUUAGUUUUUCACAUGAAGGACUAAUUAAAGGAGUAAUCAGUUUUGAGAUGGGCCCGCGGGGCAUUAGCUAGUUGGGGAGGUAAUGGCUCACCAAGGCGACGAUGCGUAGCCGACCGGAGAGGGGGGUCGGCCACAUUGGCACUGAGACACGGUCCAGACUCCUACGGGAGGCAGCAAUGGGGAAUAGUGCACAAUGGGGGAAACCCUGAUGCAGCAACGCCGCGUGAGUGAUGAAGGUCUUCGGAUUGUAAAGCUCUGUCUUUUGGGACGAUAAUGACGGUACCAAAGGAGGAAGCCACGGCUAACUACGUGCCAGCAGCCGCGGUAAGAC